rnacentral:sRNA from 18 species
AUUUGUGUGAGGAGCUCAGCAGUUUCACAGAGUCGAAACAAGGAAAGACUUCUUUGAAUUGCUGACCCUG